UACGGAGGAUGCAAGCGUUAUCCGGAUUUAUUAGGUUUAAAGGGUGCGCAGGUUGUUUGAUAAGUCAGUGGUGAAAGUCUGUCGCUUAACGGUAGGAUUGCCAUUGAUACUGUUAGACUUGAAUAUGGAUGAGGUGGCGGAAUGUGUAGUGUAGCGGUGAAAUGCAUAGAUAUUACACAGAACACCGAUUGCGAAGGCAGCCUACUAAUCCAUCAUUGACGCUGAGGCACGAAAGCGUGGGGAUCAAACAGGA
rnacentral:rRNA from 1 species